GACGAACGCUGGCGGCGUGCUUAACACAUGCAAGUCGAACGAACAGGCCCUGCUUUUGCGGGGUGCUCGAGUGGCGAACGGGUGAGUAACACGCGAGUAACCCGCCCUUGUCUUUGGGAUAACUUCUGGAAACUGGGGCUCAUACCGGAUAGGAGCUCCUGAUGCAUGGUGGGGGUUGGAAAGAUUCGGCGGUUGGGGCUGGACUGGAGGCUUAUCCGCUUGUUGGGGGGGUAGUUGCUUACCCGGGCUUUGACGGGUAGCCGGCCUGGGAGGUGGACCGGGCACAUGGGGACUGCGAGACGGACCAGACGCGUACGUGAGGCAGCAGGGGGGAGUAUUGCACAAUGGGGGGAAGCGUGAUGCAGCAACGUCGCGUGCGUGAUGAUGUCCUACGGGUUGAGAACCGCUGUCGCCUGUGACGAAGCGGGAGUGACGGUAAUGGGUAAAGAAGCACCGGCUAACUACGUG
rnacentral:rRNA from 1 species